UUUCAAUUGUCAUAGAUGGUCGUAUUUCUAUUUGUUGGAGGAAAAUUAUAGAUUUUCUCAGAAUAAUCCUAUACGUUAACAUCGAUUAAUACGGUCAACUGCAAUAAAAUCAUUAACAUUGCUUCUGUGUUGGUCGAAAUAAAACCUCGCAGAGAACGAAAUCCGAAAUUAACAUCAGGCGUCUGGACGUAUCGAACGACUGAAUGAUUGAUGUGGUGUGCCCGAGGAAAAGCGCGUAGCACGUUGCGCCACUGAGCAUGCUGAGGAUUGUCAACCACGUGUCCGUCAUGUUCUGUGGCGGGAAACGUCCGUAUCCGAUGCACAACAUGUGAGAUAAAGCUUUGAACAGCGAAAACGUAUACUGCUGUGACCAGUGGGCGUGCUGCAAGAAAUACGAGCAUCUUAACUUUUGUUAUGGAGGCAAAUACUGAUGAUCAUAUUCAACAGUACAUUUUGCCUGAAAAGUACGGAUCCAUAAAGGCCAUAUGUGUAAAUCAUUUUAAUAUACAUCGUUUUUUUACAAUAAUAAAAUGAGUCUGCUUCCACAUUAAUUUGAUAUUUUCAGAUCAUGUUAUGUCGUACCAAUUUAUUGUAAGCCACGUAUCAUUUUUAUAAGACACUCAUUCUGAGGUACUACGUUGCAUAUUUAACACGAAUCCAAAACUCUGACCUUGGUAGUAAAUGCAUGAACAUUAUCAAUAUUAUGUAAAUCACUGCAUUUCAGAUUGCCCUGACUGGCGAUCCAUAUUUUAAAAUAGUCUGGAGAAAUUCUUGCCAAAACAUAUUCCUGAAUGCAAAUGUCUUGUUAUUAGUGACAAAACCAGCUUUAUAAGCUAUAUAUUGCUCAAACACUGAAUAGCUAAGAAAAAAAAACAUUUUUCAAUCUUUGUGAUACAAGUCCCAAACAGUGUGACAUUCACAAGCACAUAACUAUUUAUUCAAGAGAAGAUCAAUAUGGAUAAUUGUGUCGCUCACAUGUACUUUGAAAGAAAACACUGUUAGAAUCUGUUCGUAGUCGUUAUAAUACCGCAAUCAUUAUAAUUAUAAAUAAAAAAGCAGUGCUAAUUAUGCAGCAGCAAUAGUAAUAUAAGCCGUCGUUUUAGCUCUUCCAGCAGUAGCCGUCGUUGUUUUAGGUGUAAAUGAUUACUAAAUUAAAUUUACGUAGAAGUUAACGUAGUUAGAUAGAAGUAGUUCCAUAAGAGAUUUUGUUCAUAAUUAUGUUUAUUAAAAAAAAUAUCAUGUUUAUUUAAACCGAACCUUUAGUUCCUCUAUGGAAACCCAGCAAUCACUCGGGAACUCUUGUAAAGUUGGCACCAGGAACUGUAAACAUCCGUUCCAGUGACCCAGAAGGAACAUAAGGCAUAUCAGGUUAAAUAUUCGCAUAAACUUCCCUGCAACCGCCAAAAACUGGAAACAUAAAGCAUAAGCAUUUCUAAAGGAUAAUACGUAUAAUGGGCAGGUAUGCUGUAAACACAGUCAUAGUAUGUAGUCAAAAUAGGUUUGUAUUUUAUUUUUGUACAAAAUAAGAGCUAUUGCAUUAAUUAAUUGUAUUGUUGUAUUGUAUUAUUUUUUGUUCACAAUAAGUGUACUCCUUGUUUGUAACUUUUCAAUAAUAUUGUUGAGAAGGUAUGCUUCUAUUACAUUAUAUAUCUAUCAAUGACACCGUUUUUUCUCUAAUUAAAAAUACAUUUACCCGAAUAGUUUAAAAUAUUUUUCAAACUCAUAAUUCACUAUUUUCCUAGUUUUGUUGCAGAUAUUAUCUUGAAUUUCUAAAAGCAAACGCAAUACUCAAAGCCAAACCUGAUGCAGUGUUACAUAAAGUGUCACAAGCUGUAUCCAUGUAUUAAUGUAGUUUUAUAUAUGAAUUAUACGACUUGCAAUGAUAUACAAGUAUGGUGCAAGGCAAUACGGACAACUCUUGUUUUAAUGUUAUAAAUUUCUGUUUUUGUACCUGAAUAUACGUCGUUCUAGGAUUCAUAUGAACUUUGUCUGCUCCUUUCAACUAAACAAUACUAUACACAUCAUGCAUGAUACACAUAUGAUGCAUCUAGCUGACACCAACACUAAUCACUCAGGCAUCUAAAAUAAGCAAACUAAAAUAUUGCAAACACAAUAUAUUCAAACAAAGUAUAACUUAAACUAAACAAAAAUUUCUCUUUUAUUGAUAUUUCGAUGCUGCUUUUGCAUUUGAGAUUAUUAAAUGAAACAUUAGUCUACGUUUAUAUAAACGUCUAAACAAGACACGAACACGUUUUGUGUUGUUUUAUAUUAGAAAUAAUAAUUUUAUAUGUAUUAAAAGGCAAAACAAAGCCAAAUCAUAGACUAAUGACUGUGCUUAUAAGAAAUUAAUCUAUUCAGUCAUAGUGGCAUAUGAAUUGUUUAGUGCAUGUUAACCGGAAACACACGGUAACAUACCUCCUUUAACCGCUGAAACAAAUAAAUGUGUGACAUGAGUAUUAAUAUUGCAUACACAAUAACAUGUAUACGAUAAGUCAAAACCAAAUGAGAAGUAAACUCAGACAAUCUGGCGAUGUUGCCGAGUGUAAUUUACUUAAUUGUCAAGGACUAAAAUUAUACAAAUGUAUAAUUCAUCCGGUCCCGAAAUAAAUAGGUUUUAUCAAAUAAUGGUUAGAAAAAACUUCACAACGGAUUACGUGGGAAGUAACUCUUGACAACAUAAUGCCUGUGUCCUGGCGAUAGAAACACGUUUAUUUGCUAUGUUUUCUUUAAUCCUGAAAUUUCCACGACGAGGAUGGGCUAGACACGUCAGCUUCAAUGAAAAGUUUGACAAUUUUGUUGUAUGGCAAAUUACUUUACUGAUAUUGUAUUUAUUUAAAUAUAUUCAAUGGUUCACAUUGAUUGUGAUCGUUUUUAUUUAGUGGAUAUCAGCCAUAUUUUGGAGAACAAUUGCAAACUUGUGUAUAUAUAUCGUAAUAUUUGGUUUUAACACAUGACAUUGAACACUGCAUUAUUAUGUUUUACAAUCGCUGUACCACGACGCACAUACAAUUUCUAAACAUUUUAGUUUUGAACUUCAAGUUUGGAAGAAAUGUUCAGCGACAAUAUGUGAAACACUUAGAAGUAAUUCAACUAUCAACAAAAUUCGAAUAAUUUUCAAUUCAACUCAAUGUCAACUGUCGGUGAAUAAAGUUGCUGCUUUUGUAAAUACGGAUAUCAACAGACUAAUUAAAAAAAACGCUGAUCGAGAAUCAUAUAAUUUUUAAUAUAACUAAACUUCAAUUGGAGUUAUUAUUACGAAGUCAAUCACUUAGAUUUUACAAAUAGAUUUAAUAACUUAAACAAUAUAUAGUCAUAUGAGUCUCGAUGAUACUCCACAAUUUCAACAGGUAGAGAAGGGAUUAUCGUUACAUUAACAAGAGAUUCCAGAUCUCAACAUAUAAAAAUAUCCAACUUCAAAACGGGUAUGUGAAUAAAAACAUAUGAAAAAGGUGUGCUGGAAGUCGUUGAAAGGAGCAGAGUGUUGAUUGGAGUUUAACAAUGUUCACAGUUUAAAGGCGUCUGUUAAGCAUAAUUGUCUGGUAUUCAUUUGUAUAGAGAAUAAUAUACAAAUCAAUGUAUACUAUUUCACAUUUUUAUAUUAUUUCUAUAUACUUUUGUAUUUUGAUUGCUUAACAAGCAUGGCGAAUGAUAAACAACUCACAUGCGAAAUUUCGUCUAACAUUAUUCAAAGUAAAACAUUAAAUACUGAU